rnacentral:rRNA from 1 species
GAAUUCGAUUCAGGCCUAACACAUGCAAGUCGAACGGCAGCACGGGUGCUUGCACCUGGUGGCGAAAAAAGAACGGGUGAGUAAUGUAUCGGAACGUACCCAGUAAUGGGGGAUAACACAUCGAAAGAUGUGCUAAUACCGCAUACGCCCUGAGGGGGAAAGCGGGGGAUCGUAAGACCUCGCGUUAUUGGAGCGGCCGAUAUCGGAUUAGCUAGUUGGUGGGGUAAAGGCCCACCAAGGCGACGAUCCGUAGCUGGUCUGAGAGGACGACCAGCCACACUGGAUUUGAGGGACGGUCCAGACUCCUACGGGAGGCAGCAGUGGGGAAUUUUGGACAAUGGGGGAAACCCUGAUCCAUUUAGAGGGCGUGAGUGAAGAAGGCCUUCGGG